GGUUGGUUAGCUCAGUGGUUAGAGCGUAGGUUGCGUAACCGAAAGGUCGCGGGAUCGAAUCCCACUAGAGGCUG
rnacentral:tRNA from 1 species